GUAACCGGUUGACUGAAGAGGGUUGAAUGAGGACGAGGGGGUGGUGGUUGAAAGAUGGUUAAAUAUGAUCCUGAGUUUACAUGCCUGUGCUAGGAACACAGAAAAAAAGAACACAGGAAAUGCAUGGGGGAUGAGAGAAGAUGCCUUCCCACUGUCCCAAACACAGUCUGUUGCAGCCUUCUUUGGAUUCUUUAAUGUAUAGCUGUCUCUCAAGGCAUCUGAACUCUAUCCCUGUUCUUCAGACUUCCCCUUUGCCCCAUCUCCAGCUGGCUAAAUCUUCAUUUUCUCCAAGAGCCUCGUUUGAUUCCCAUAAUCUGGGUCAGAACCCUUUUCUAGAUUCUUGCCUUUCUUUUCCAUAUGUCUCACUGGAAAGUGACUGCUGUCCCAGAAAGCCUGUCAUUUCCCCGAGGGCAGGACCCAUGUCUGCCUUAUUUCCUGCUCUAGUUGCAGAACUGAGGACAUUGCCUAGCACACAGUAGGCACUCACAUUGGGCUUGGAGCAUCCACAGCUGUACCUGGAAAUAAGAGUUCACCGAUAGUUCAGAUCCAGACCCACGAGGAGAGAACAGCAUUCUGGGAUAUGUAGUUUCCAGACUGGCUGAGUAGCAACACUCUUAUGAGCCAAAGGAAUGGGAGUCACAAGGCACAGGAGAAGCAAGCUUUAAUAUCCUGGAGCCAGGCAGGAAAGCUGGAGCCUUGGGCUCACGCUGGGGUCUUUGCUGUACCGGGAGCAUCACUAUGUUGCAGGUUGUCAUCACUUAUGGAGGGACUACUCUGACAGAAACCCAGAAGGACAAAGAAGCCCACUAUUUUGCAGGAGGCAGCUGAGGACAACCUGAGGCCUCCUGUGUUGGAUGAAGAGGGCUAAUUCUUCUGGCUUAAAGACAUAGUGCAAUAGGGACAGCUAUUCAGUGACAAGUUUCAUGAGAUCCUUUCUGCACUGUUCUCCCUGUCUGGAAAAGCCACCAGCUGGUAAUGCUAUAGUCAAGCAGUCAUUCUACAUAGCCACACCUAGUGAUGUGAUCAUUGGUAGCCUCACCUGGUUUGAAUUUCCAAAACACACUUCUGGAAAAGUAAGGGGUCUGAGUUACAGAUCCAGGGUGUAGGAAAAAUCCCCCUGAAAACUGUAUCUUAGACCCCGGUGGCCAGAGAUGCAGGCGUAGUAGAAAAGCAUGAUUUGGUCUUUUCAUGGGAGCCCAGCCCAGACCCAGACGAAGCUCCUGUUCUAAGGGCCAUGAUUGAAAUUCCUCGUGGAAAGUCUGUCUUUGAGACACCAAGACACCUCAUUUAAUUCCCAUUUCCUUUUUAAGUCAGGUCCCUCCUUCCUGAGAACCACAUUUAAAGUUGCUAGCUGGCUUUCCUUCUGUUUUUGCUAUUUGUGUGCCAACUUCAAGGGUGGGGAGAGCCACGUUAAUUUAAAAAUAUAGCACAAAUAGCAAAACGAGGCUUGAUUUAAGGUAAAAACCACAGAAAGGGUUUUCCCCUUCCCUUCUGUGUUUUUCAGACUUUCCUAGAUCCACUAUUAAUUCUUCAGAGCCCAGACAUAGAAAGUGAUUGAGGCACACUGGAUGCUCUUCCAGACUAAAACAAAAAGCCUCCAGUGGACUCUCUCAUUGCCCCUUCAGACUUUAUUUUAAAGAGGGCUUAAGAAAGCUGGCCAAACUCCAUUCAUGGUAGGAUCUUGCUAAGCACCCUAGAUUUGGUGUUAUAAACUACCCUUUUGGAUCAGUUGUCCACUUGGGCAUCUUGGUUUUGGGAAUGUGGCUUUAAGAGUAGAGUUCCUAGAUCAAAUCCUGGCCUCAUUAUUUAUUAGUUUUCUGACUUUACAUCAAUGGGAAUCAUGAUUCACAAUGUUCAGUCCAUAGUGAGUCAAGGUCUAAAAAGAGCCUGGAGCAAAAGGAGCGACCAAUAGGCGGUGGCUAUUAUGAAAAUAGACCGUUUCAUCUGUCGGCUCCCUCUUUAGUCUCCAUUUCCGGUUUUGGAAAGGAAAGAAAAUUCGUUAUCUAUUUCAAGUGGAGGAUCUACCUCCAUUUUAAAUCACUCAGGGACUCACCAGAAGGGGAGGCCAGACCGCACUGAAUUUGCAAUACCCAGGCCUUUAAACCGAAUGGAAGCCCCAUUCUUGCCACUUAACAGAACACGGGCGAGCAGAUUGGGACUUGGGAAGCCUCGAAGGGAUAGCAAUUGCUCAGUCUAAAGACACAGGUCUAAGAUACGUGGGUGGGGGAAUUCACCUGAAGAAGGAAAGCCUCUGCAAGUGUUUGUAGGCAGAGCUGACAGUAGUGAAACUCCAUGCGCGUGCGGCAGCGCCCUCUGCCGGCCUCGGGGAGGGCAAAUCUGGAGCCUGGCCCCACGGCUGGUCAAAUGGGACUCCGGAUCCUUUCUGCUGCCUCCGCCCCCGCUCCGUCCCUUCCCGUGAUCGCGCAGCCUGGUCUGGGACUGGAUUCCAGGAGAGGCGUCCCCAUCCUACGCCUGAAGGCAGAGCAAGGACGCUGCUCUAAAACACCCGGUUCAUCAGCAGAGCGGAGGCUGCAGGAACCUACCCAAACCCACCUGGGGCUGCUUUUGCCUCCCGGAAACCCGGGCAGAAGCCUGCGGGGCGGUCGGAGGUGGUUUGGAAGUGGCAUCGCCUAUGGCCAAGACCGAGGGUUCUGCGGACAGAGAGGAGCCCUGGGUUCGCUUUCUGCCUCAUCCAGCUAGGUGACCUUGGGCAAGGCCCUCAUGUAGCCCAGGCUGGCUUGGAAGUCACUAAGUAGCAGAGGCUGACCUUGAACUGCCUUUACCUCUCAAGUGCUAGGAUUACAGAAGCACAUCCCUGCAAUCCUAAAGCACACCCAACUCUGCCCUCUUUAAGUGCAGUCAUCACUCUGAGAAACAUCAAGAUGAAGUUGGAAAGCUCUGAUGUGAGGAUGGUCAUUCUCAGUUCCCAGGUUCUGCCAGUGGGGACCAGAACAGAAUCACUGCUGGGGAGACCACGGUUCCCCAAGUCUGGCUGGGCUGCGAAAGCUGUCCUUGUCUGAGGUCCUGCUCUGGAUGAUGAUGUAUGCCCUGCUGCUCAUGGGUGGGGGGCCAUGAACUGCAGUUAAAGGACAUAGUUUUAAAUCUCAUUUAAACAUUUCUCAAGUCAGAAA
ensembl:lncRNA